ensembl:lncRNA
GCUUGGUGUCCUCCGUCGCAAUUAUGGCGUAAUCUCCAGCUGCAGUAUUUUUCCGUUUGCUUCUGAUGAGAAGCCAACUGCCACCACUGAUAGAUUAUCGAAUAGAUAUGUGAAAAACACCUUGAGGUUUGAUUCUGUACAACGUUUGCCAUGUUUCUGACGAUAUUAUGGAGCUAAUUUGGAAAAAAGUUUGGCGUUGUAAGUGACUGCAUUUUCCGGUCUUUUUCUUAGCCAAACGUGAUGAACAAAACGGAGUUAUUUCAUCUACACAAAUAAUCUUUUUGGAAAAUAAUGAACAUUUGCUAUCUAACUAAGAGUCUCGUCAUUGAAAACAUCCGAAGUUCUUCAAAGAUAAUUUGGCAAUACGUCCAACUGGCCUCACAACUACGUGUAACCACGCCAGCCCAGAAAUUCCACAUCCGGCUUCUUCACCUGCAGGAUCGUCUGACACCAGCCACCCGGAGAGCUGAUGAAACUGAAGAGUAU